AGCAGACAUCUGCAUAGCGGGGGUUUUGGCGGUGUAGGUGGAACCGCAUACAGAUGUCAAAUUCACAAGCAGCUCCUAAAGUGGACAUGACCGAAUACAAACAGUGUAGCUGUAACGCUUGUCGUCUGUAGAAGAAGGGGACCAAAGCGCAGCGUGGGCUGCAGUGGAGCAGGUUGAGAGCUUCAAGUUCCUUGAUGUCCACAUCACCAACAAACCAACAUGGUCCAAAGACACCAUGACAGUCGUGAAGCAGGCACGACAAAACCUAUUCCUCCUCAGGAGACUGAAAAGAUUUGGCAUGGGUCCUCAGAUCCUUACAAGGUUCAACAGCUGCACCAUCGAGGGCAUCCUGACUGGUUGCAUCACUGCCUGGUAUAACUGCUCGGCCUUCGACCGUAAGGCACUACAGAGGGUUGUGCGAACGGCCCAGUACAUCCAGGACCUCUAUACCAGGCUGUGUCAGAGGAAGGCCGGGAAAAUUGUCAAAGACUCCAGCCACCCUAGUCAUAGAUUGUUCUCUCUGCUACCACAAAUGCAAGCGGUACCGGAGCGCCAAGUCUAGGUCCAAGAGGCUUCUAAACAGCUUCUACCUCCAAGCCAUAAGACUCCUGAACAUCUAGUCAAAUGGCUACCCAGACUAUUUACAUAUCCCCCCUCCACACCACUGCCACUCUGUGUUGUCAUCUAUGCAUUGUCACUUUAAUUAACUCUACCUACAUGUACAUACUUCCUCAACUAACCGGUGCCCCGGCACAUCCACUCUGUACCGGCACCCCCCUGUAUAUAUUGUUCUUUUCUACUGCUGCUCUUUAAUUACUUGUUACUUGUUACUUUUCUCUUAUUCUUUUCCGUAUUUUUUUUUAAACUGCACUGUCGGUUAGGGGCUCGUAAGUAAGCAUUUCACUGUAAGGUUGUAUUUGGCGCAUGUGACUAAUAAAACUUUAUUGGAUAAGAGUGUGCCAAAUAUGUGACCAUUGCUGUACAUUCAUACCCCAGGGUGAGGGUAACUUUACUAUUGUAG
rnacentral:lncRNA from 1 species